CCUACGGGAGGCAGCAGUGAGGAAUAUUGGUCAAUGGACGAGAGUCUGAACCAGCCAAGUAGCGUGAAGGAUGACUGCCCUAUGGGUUGUAAACUUCUUUUAUAAAGGAAUAAAACGAGGCACGUGUGCCUUUUUGCAUGUACUUUAUGAAUAAGGAUCGGCUAACUCCGUGCCAGCAGCCGCGGUAAUACGGAGGAUCCGAGCGUUAUCCGGAUUUAUUGGGUUUAAAGGGAGCGUAGAUGGGUUGUUAAGUCAGUUGUGAAAGUUUGCGGCUCAACAGUAAAAUUGCAAUUGAUACUGGCAGUCGUGAGUACAGUUGAGGUAGGCGGAAUUCGUGGUGUAGCGGUGAAAUGCUUAGAUAUCACGAAGAACCCCGAUUGCGAAGGCAGCUUACUAAACUGUGACUGACAUUGAUGCUCGAAAGUGUGGGUAUCAAACAGGAUUAGAUACCCGGGUAGUC
rnacentral:rRNA from 1 species